rnacentral:tRNA from 1 species
CGGAUAUGGCGAAAUUGGUAGACGUUUCAGGUUUAGAUUCUGAUGAAUUUAUUCGUAGGGGUUCGAAUCCCUUUAUCCGC